rnacentral:lncRNA from 1 species
CGACCCGAGCGGAACCCGAACGGAGCCGAACAGAGCCGAGCCCGACCCGAACGGGGCCGAGCGGAGCCGCCCUCACGAAAUGAGGCGAAAAGGUGUUUAAGGGAUUUUGAAGUUUUAAGGAUUUCAGUGUGUCAUUCCAUGAACACGUGAACGCUUAGGAAUGAAAAUCGAUUUAUGGAAGAGCUGACCAGCUUUCUGGGGAGGAUCUAAGACAAACCUGUGAGCUGCACCUUACAGAAAGGAGGCAAAAAGCCAAGUGGCAGGAGAUCUGCUGAGAAAGCUGAGGAUGACAGUCUCGCAGGGGAGGAGGGAAGGCAGCAGGUACGUGUGAACCAGGACUGUGCUGCUCAGCUGGGGGCUGCUCCUGCC